UGGGGAAUUUUGGACAAUGGGCGCAAGCCUGAUCCAGCAAUGCCGCGUGCAGGAUGAAGGCCUUCGGGUUGUAAACUGCUUUUGUACGGAACGAAACGGUCUUUUCUAAUACAGACGGCUAAUGACGGUACCGUAAGAAUAAGCACCGGCUAACUACGUGCCAGCAGCCUCGGUAAUACGUAGGGUGCGAGCGUUAAUCGUAAUUACUGGGCGUAAUGCGUGCGCAGGCGUUUUUGUAAGUCAGAGGUGAACUCCCCGGGCUCAACCUUGGAAUUGCCUUUGUGACUGCAAGGCUUGAGUGCGGCAGAGGGGGAUGGAAUUCGGGGUGUAGCAGUGAAAUGCGUAGAUAUGAGGAGGAACACCGAUGGCGAAGGCAGUCCCCUGGGCCUGCACUGACGGUCAUGCACGAAAGCGUGGGGAGCAAACA
rnacentral:rRNA from 1 species